rnacentral:piRNA from 1 species
UCCAGGAGCAAGUGAAUAAAGGGGCUAAGGAG